AAGGAUACCAUGCACUAAGGUUGGAAUUUCUUGACGCCUUUAAAGUGAGUGGUCUGAAAAAGUACCCUCUAAAAGAUCUCUUUAUCAUUUGUCACCUCAAUAGAACGUGCUCAACACAUAGGUAGGGCUGUUCUAUCGGUUUUCGGUAAGCUACCGAAACAGUUUCGUUAAGAAAAAGUUAUGAUAAGAGCGCUCAAUGCCGAUAGCGAUCAGAGUUUUCGGAGCUGUCGAAAAUAAGCUGUUGCCAUGUGUACAUCUAUUUCAUGCGCCGCCGCGCCAGGCAAUCUGAUAAACCGACACACGGGCAACAAUGCAUUGAGUGCGAGCUCUCAAAAAUCCGAUAAGGCUGGCUGUUGUUGAUAUCAUUGCCACUGUCGGUACUGCCGCCAGUUUCAAUAAGAGACGAUAUCGAAAGAGUCCGACAAGAAUUCGUUUGAACACCCCUACACAUAGGUUGCGUUGAGGAAAUUUUUUCAUGAAAAAUAAUGAUAAGCUGUGGUUCCUAGUAUCUCCUUCGCGUAUAGGAUUUUAUUUGAACUAAUGCAGUUUUUACUUCUCUCCUGGUUUUGAAAUUAAUUCAUAAAAGUCAAGUGGAAAAGCUAGUACUGCACGUUUCAUCACAGAACUAUUUAUUUAUUUCUUACAGCUCCAAGAUAUAUCAGUAGAUGUCAUAUCGAUAAAAGUUGCAUUGGGGAAAGCCCAAGAUGAAGCAAUGGAUUUAAGCGAUCAAGGUACCCCAACUCCAACUCCGUCACCCUCUCCUCUGCCUGUUAGCGAUCAUCCGGAAGGUACCUUGCUAGAAUUCAUCCAAGAGUCCAAGUGGAAUGCUGCCCUUUAUUUUGUUCGGCAGAAUAAGGGUUCGUGGUCUUUUGUCAGCGAUUUGAUUUGCUCAGGAAUGGAUGAUGAUGAUGUAGUCUAUACCUUGAAUGUUUACUGUUACUACCUAAUUCAAAAAAGGCCAGAUGUUUUUGUCAUGACCGAACAAGAUCUGAGUUCUGUUUUAAACUCCUUAAUGGAAGGAUUAUGCAAAGUUUUAGCUGCUGUGAAUAAAGUGGAAACGUUUGUGAAACAACAGCGGCAAACUGUAUGCUGAGUUACACCAAAGUUUAUCAGUAAAGUCUAGUCAGAUGUGAUAUUCAUAUAUUUUUUUAAUCCAUUCUAUUUUUAAUUCUUCUUAUGUUCAAUACUGUCUUUCCAAGUCAAGAAACUAGUUGGAAAUUGUUGGGUACAGGCCGAACAAGUAACCUGCAUCCUGUAUAUUUUGAUGCAGAUUAUCUCCUUAAAACAGUUUUUAUGUUGGAAGUCUUCAUCAAAUCAACAGUUUUCACAGGUACAUAUUGAGUAUUUUGAAAUACCCAGUAUGUUUUCAUGUUUAUCAGAUCUUGUGUCGUUCAAUCCUGCUUUCAAUAGAAAAUUACUAUUGAUUAGAGUAGCAGCAUUUUGAAAGUUUAAAACCCUCCUUAAUUACCUUUAUGUGUUUACCUUUAUUUAAGUAAUUUCCUAAACAAGUACAUAAAAUCUUUACUGCAAGGGGAAAGUAUCAAGGUUUAGUCUAUCUUAAGGAGUACCAUUGGACGAUUGUACCUUUGUCAUUCUUGAACCUUGACUUAACGAAGUUGAUUUGAAGGCAAAUCCAGGCAUUAUUUUCAAUAUUUUUUUUUUGUCUGUUUUUUCCCUGCGCGGAUGUUUGCCUCAGGAAGAUUUUAUCAAAUUUAGGAAUCUAGGCAUUUUAAUUAAGGACAAAAUUAUGAGUAAUAAAAGUUCACACUGUUGACUGUAUUUAUCAGUAAAAUUAUGCAAUCCUGCCAUACUUUUGCUUGUAGUAUGCAUUGGAGACAAAUUUACCACAUCCUGUGGAUCAUAUUUUUUUUAAAAUAGUCCGCAUCAACAAAUCAAACCAAGUUUAAUGAAAAAAAGAAAAAAAGUAUUCGUCUGAAACAAAAUAAUUUCAUAUUCGUUGACUGAUUUUUUAAAAGUCUCGGCUGGAUUAUUAUUUUAUCAUAAACAAUUUUUGUACUUUUUUUUGUCGCUAUCGGUAUUUUAUCAAUAAAUAUUACUUUUCAGGCGUCAGCCUGUAUAUUGUACUCCACGGAAAGCUCAACAAAAUAUUUUCUACUUUACCUUUUGCCUUAUCAGGUACAAAUACAGUACCUAGUUCACAUUUAGAGUGAAACGUAUCUUUUUGCGAGGCCUGUAUCUUCAGACUUUUUGUUCAACUAAAGUACGGUAUGUAACUUAAUAGUAAGUAACCCUUUUUUUUUACUAUUUUCAAGUUUUACAAGGAUUGAAGAGACAGAAAAACCUGGAAGAAAUGUUUACCUACAAUGUUAGGGUAAUUGUAGUUGAUUUCAUGUAAAAGACAUGUAUGUAGUUUUUCUUCCUGAUCGAUUUUCCAUAUUGUUUAAGCUUGAUACUGUUGGAAUUAUUUUUAUUUUAAAAGUUUGAGCUGGAGAAAAACCAAGAAUUUUCCGGUAAUAUUUUAAAAUAAAAAGAAAAAAUUGCCCUUUUUUUGUCCCUCAGUGUUAGAUAAUCAAUCUAGAUAAUUAAGUUUGAGCCGUAAUGGAUGGUUAAAUUUCUUAAUUUUACAAGUUUCUUUAUAUUCGGUAAAAAGAGAGAUUCAUCUUAUCUCUGAAAAAGUUGUAACACCUAGGUUCAAUCUUUAAAAUUUCAGUAAAAGAAGAGCUCGAAUCAAGUGGGAAGUAUUCUGCAUUACUCUCCAGGAAUACUUUAUCUGUCUUUUGAAAACCCAAUUGAUAGCUGCUUUAAGUUCUUUUACCCUUGACCGGUCUUUUCAAGAAAAUGGAGAUUGAUGGUAAGAAAAUCUCAUCGAGUCCUUGUUUUAUAGAAGACUGGGAACAUGCACAAUCAUUUUAUUCUUCUGUACUUAGUCAGCACCUAAUUAAUCAAUUUGUAUAAUCAGCUAAGUACUUUGUGAUCAUAUUACUAUGAAGAGAAACAAUUUUUGUAUAUCCUAGUAUAAUAUAAUUGAUACAUUUUCUUAUAAAAUUUUGUUUUAUCUUGUGUCAAUCUUUCCAAAAUAAUCACGUCAGUGUUAGCUGAAAUUAUCAGAAUAUGAAAGCAGUGACAAAUCAUUGACCUAUAAUCUACGGAUCCAUCCUAAGAGAAAGCAACAAUGUCAGCUGAGUUGGGGAAUAGGGUCAAGGCAGGAAACAAAUUCCCUAAAUCCUUAAAGAGUGCGAAGAAUUGUUUUGUAGCUUAAUAAAAAAAAAUUCAUUUUGUGAAAGUUUCUCCAACUUCUGGGGCUUUUCCCAUUUUCUGAUAAAUGUUGAUAAACCCUCCACAGGAUAAGCCAGGAGAUUAAUUGCAUUUUGAUAAAUUACGAUAACUCUGGGAAUUUAAAACAAAAGUGGGAGGAGAGGUAGUGAACAGAGAGAAAAUUUUUUAAAGGAAUGCUUUUUUAAGUCUCCUUUUACCUCAAGUUAAUGAUGGAGUUAAAUGCCUCAAACCUAGCCCUUUUAGAAUGAUAAGUAAUGGUUUUUUUUAAAAAAUCCAAACUUAAAAUAAUAAGUUAUUGUCAUAUCAAUUUUAAGCAUUUAGGUACACUUUAAGUCAAACAAAAAAGUAUUCAGAAAAUCAUAUGCAGACUUUUUUGUAAAAUAUGCUGGAUUAAUCAUCUGUUUUAUCAUUUCUUCGUCAGUCAAUUAAGGAGCACUUAGUGAUAAGACAGAAAAUGAGGAAGUGAAUCAUCAUAAUGUGUGACUGACAGUUUCUUUAGUGAUAAUUUUUAGAAGUUGAUAACAAAAUUUCAAUAGUACACUCGAAUAUUAUUUGCUCCGUUCCUAAAUUUUGUAAAGUCCAUUCUUUUACAUUAUUUUCACUUUUUAUAAAGAAAGGAGUCAGUACUGGGUGCUUUACUGCACUUCAACCGAGUAAUAUUGUUUAGGUACGUACAAAAGUGAGAUACUUUUAAAGGUAAGUCAUUUUCACCUCAGAGUUUCAUUUUUGAACCGAAUUUUUGAAAGCAAUUAAUCUGAAGCAGCAGUUCUCAAAACCACUGUUUCUCUCAGAAAAAUAAUAACUGUGAAUGAGGAAAAAAUAAUAUUACACAUUUUCAAUUACAAGACACAAGAGGAAGAACAACUAUUAUUCUUUAUUUUGUGUUGCACCACAUUAUGAUGGAUCUCUUAACCGUGCAAUAUGGCAUUAAGGUUCUUCAUUUACGGAUUCACUGGCUGAAUUAAUUGACACUAGAAAAGGUAGAGAUGUUCAUAGGUCCAAAUUGUUUCGCACCGGACUUUUUCAAGUUGCUCAGAGGAGCCGUGACCCUUUUUAUUUAAAUUAGUACAAUCAUGGCUAAAAAGUGGGAUAGAAAUAAAUAAAAGUUGAAUCAAAAAUUUUACAGUGAAUUUUCACGAGAAGUGUACUAAUAAUAUUCCAUUUCAUACUUUCGCAGAGGCUCCGUCAAUUUGCAAAUACCGCGGUUUGGAACGGGGCCACACACGGGAGAGAUGAGGGGCCUCCAAAAGUGAGGCUCUGCUGCGCGCCCACGUCGCAUGGUCUUGCAUGGUACGCAUGUGUGUUUUUGUUGUGAAGCGUCGCGUGAUUCUGCCGGAGUGCCGGAAUUCUAGUCAAUAAGUGGCCUUAAAAAGGAGUCUGAACGCAAUAUUGCCAUUAAUACUUUAAUCAUCACUUAAUCCGAAUACUGCUUCUUGAGCACACUGAUGGCCUAAGUCCAAAAACAUGCAUUUCGGAUCAAGACGUUAGCAUUUUCCAACAUGUUUAUUUUUUCUAAGGAGAAAUAAUCCCAGUUUUCUCUUUUAAUUUCCGUCGAUUUCUCUUCAAGAGAGAAAGAAUAUCCUGUAAAAAUUUCAGACAGUAACAUUGGUGUUUUUCUGCAAUGAUAUUCAGGAGACACAUACCUACAUUAUUAAACUUAGUAAUUGAGGUACUUAGGUUUCCUAUGUGUUUCUAAAUGUACGCUAUAGCAAUAGACUUAUGCCUAUAAUCAUAUUUAUAGCGGGUGCAGGUAUUGCUUUUAUCGAGGAAAUAUUGUUUGAGAUUUUUGAAGCUUAGGUAAGGAUUUAGAAGAGAGAAGAGAAAGUGCUAAAAUUGAACGUAUUUAUGCUGAGAAGAAUUAUGCGAAAAU
rnacentral:lncRNA from 1 species